rnacentral:lncRNA from 10 species
AACUGAAAAGAAGAAUAUUUCAUCAUUACAUGUAAAAAUUGUAUGAAAUUAAAAUCCCAGUGCCCAUAAAUAUAGUUUUGCUGGAACAUGGCAAUCCCAUUCAUUUAUAGGCAAUCCAUGGUGGCUUUAGUGCUACAUGCACAGAAUUGGGCAGCCCCAUCAGGAGACUCGUGGUUUUCUCCUGGCCAUACGCUGAAAGUUUUGAAUGGAAACCAUACUGGACAGGCCAUGACUUUUCUUUUACUGGUGCCUACCCAUCAUAUCAAAACAAGAAAAAAGAAAAAAGUGGACUUCACAUGUUGCAAUUUUAAGGCAAGGUAGAGUAUGGAUUAUUUUGUUACUGAGUCAGCUGGCUAAGCUAAGCCUUGUGUAUCUUAGGCAAUGAUGUCAUGCUGCAGCUCCAAGAACCCACUAUCUGCCAGCAUGGCCAGACUAGGCACCCUUCACAACACUGCUUCUCAUGGAAGCUAUGGUGAGGGAAACAAGGACAUUAGAACAGGCUCUCCCUUACCACAGCAAAAUUUCUUUACAGAGUUAAGAAAAUGGACUGGGUGCAGUAGCUCACACCUGUAAUCCCAGCACUUUGGGAGGCCAAAGCAGACAGAUGGCCUGAGUCCAGGAGUUUGAGACCAGCCAGGGCAAUAUGGCAAAAACAUCUCUAAAAAAAAAAAAAAGAAAGAAAAGUAAAAGAAAGAAAGAAAAUGAAAAAAGGCUAUGGCCACAGUAAGUUUCCAAGUGUCUCCUUUGUUGGCCAAGCAGGGAAUACAUUUACCCAUGAGAAGUUAAUUAAGUCAUGUUUGAUUGCAGCAGUUGAAGAAAUGUGCCCAGAAGUGGUCCAGGAAAAAUAAACUUGUUUAGAAGUAUUAGCUUUUGUCCUCAACUUUGUUCUAUUAUAAUUAUAUAUUACCAUUUGAACACCAUCAAUACAAAUUUUGUGGAAACUUGUUUUCUCUGUUGUUGUAUAAGUAUCACAGUGCAUCUUUGCCUCUGCCCCUUGGUACACAAAGCCCAAAAUGUUUGCCAUCUGCCCUUUAUAGAAAAUAACUGCUUACUCCUGACCUAUCAGAUAAGAGAAAAGGACAUUGGGAAAAAAUAUUUAAUAGCAAACAAAGUAAGAUGAUAGCAGUAAGUCCAAACAUGUAAUUAAUCAUAACAAAUAUAAAUUGUUGAACUCUUCUAAUAAAGACAGAGGAUUGGAUAUGUAUUUUUUAAUCUAGCUAUACAUUGCUGACAAGAAAUAGAUGUAGAAUAAGACCUCAAAAAAAAUUGAAAGCAAAGAAAUAGAAGAAGACAUAGCAGGCACAUUCUAACCAAAACAAAGCUAUAGUGAUGUUAAUUUUUAAAAAUAUAAUU